GCGGGCGUGGUCUAAAGGCUAUGAUUCCUGCCUUCCAAGCAGGAGAUGGGAGUUCGAUUCUCCCCGCCCGCACCA
rnacentral:tRNA from 1 species